GGAGUGCUUGCACUCUGCCGGCGAGCGGCGGACGGGUGAGUAACGCGUGGGAAUCUACCCAUUUGUGGGGGAUAACUUGGGGAAACUCAAGCUAAUACCGCAUAAUCCCUACGGGGGAAAGCAGGGGAUCUUCGGACCUUGCGCAGAUGGAUGAGCCCGCGUCGGAUUAGCUAGUUGGUGGGGUAAAGGCCUACCAAGGCGACGAUCCGUAGCUGGUCUGAGAGGAUGGCCAGCCACAUCGGGACUGAGACACGGCCCGAACUCCUACGGGAGGCAGCAGUGGGGAAUCUUGGACAAUGGGGGAAACCCUGAUCCAGCCAUGCCGCGUGUGUGAAGAAGGCCCUAGGGUUGUAAAGCACUUUCAGUAGGGAGGAAGGCUCUGGGUUAAUACCCUGGAGUACUUGACGUUACCUACAGAAGAAGCACCGGCUAAUUUCGUGCCAGCAGCCGCGGUAAUACGAAAGGUGCGAGCGUUAAUCGGAAUUACUGGGCGUAAAGCGCGCGUAGGUGGUUUGGUAAGUUGGGAGUGAAAGCCCCGGGCUCAACCUGGGAAUUGCUUUCAAAACUGCCAGGCUAGAGUGCGGUAGAGGGAGGUGGAAUUUCCGGUGUAGCGGUGAAAU
rnacentral:rRNA from 1 species